UGGGGAAUUUUGGACAAUGGGCGCAAGCCUGAUCCAGCCAUGCCGCGUGCGGGAAGAAGGCCUUCGGGUUGUAAACCGCUUUUGUCAGGGAAGAAAUCUUCUGAGUUAAUACCUCGGGAGGAUGACGGUACCUGAAGAAUAAGCACCGGCUAACUACGUGCCAGCAGCCGCGGUAAUACGUAGGGUGCAAGCGUUAAUCGGAAUUACUGGGCGUAAAGCGUGCGAGGCGGUUUUGUAAGACAGAGGUGAAAUCCCCGGGCUCAACCUGGGAACUGCCUUUGUGACUGCAAGGCUUGAGUGCGGCAGAGGGGGGAUGGAAUUCCGCGUGUAGCAGUGAAAUGCGUAGAUAUGCGGAGGAACACCGAUGGCGAAGGCAAUCCCCUGGGCCUGCACUGACGCUCAU
rnacentral:rRNA from 1 species